GUUUAAGGAAAUGGAAAUUUGGUUUUUAAAAGGUAAAAUUUUAAUAUUAUAUUAUAUUAAGAGUAAAGAUUGGGAUUAAAAAAGAGGGAAAGAAAUUGCUGGACAAACAAUUUGAACUGGAAUACAAAAGAGGGAGGUACGAGGAGGUCCAGAAAAUAAGUAAAUUUAAAAAUGGAGAUGAAAAGGUGAUAUUGUUUUUAAUUGUUCUAUUUUCUUUUUUGUCUUUUGUGUUUUUUGUUCCUUUUUUUUCUUUUGGAUUAUGUAUUGUGUAUUUUUGAAUUGUGUAUUUCUUUUUUAUGUUUUAUGUUUAAUCUUUUAUUGAAACUUUAAUAAAUAUCAUUU